ensembl:lncRNA
GUUUCUUUGGGAUGGGGAUGAUGGUGGAGCGUUUGAAGCAGGAAGGAACUUCGCACAUCUCCAGUGAUCUGUUGAAGAUCUUUGUGAAGAUAGGGGUCAGCUGGUCAGUACAGGUUUUUAGACAGGCUGGUGAGACACUGUCUGGGCCUGGUGCUUUCCUUGUCUUCUGUUUGAUGAAGACCCGACGCACCUCCUCUUUGCAGAUCAAAGGUGCAGGAGGGGGGAAGGUGGGGGUUACUGGAGGUGUUAGUUGAUUUGUGGAGAGAGGGUCUGAAUGGGUGUGGGGUGUGAGACAGGGUUUAUCAGGAGAGGUUUGCUUUAUUAAAGUCCCAGAGAAUGAUUAUAACAGAGUCCGGGUGUUGUUGCUCUGUGUCAGUGAUCUGGUCGCCUAGCUGUUGCAGCGCUGCGUUUGAGGGCUUAUCAGCCUGAAAAGGAAAAAGGAAGUAUUCAAAUGCAAAAAACACCAAGCAAAGUUCAUUGGAAAAUAAGCCACAGACGGAGGUACAGCUGCGAGUGCGGCAACGCGUUUUUUCCUGUAAAAUUGGUAUUUUUACUUUCAGUUUUCACUUGAAGAAAAAAAAACAUUUUUUGCUUCAAAUCUGCGCUGUUAGCCCACAGUUUCCGGAAGAACUCCUGCAAUGAGAAGACAAUAAAAAAAGAACCUGAGGAGAAGAUACAUUAUGGGAGUUCUGCCACUUCCAUUUGGGACCAUCUGUGUUGUGCUCAUGCUGUUGCCUGGGCAGAACCAGAGUUCUUUGAUCCACUUCUCGGGUCAGAAACCCCUGUAUGUGGCUCUAGGUGAAACUCUGGUUCUGGAGACCCAAAUCAACAGAACUGCUAGAACUUUUUCCAAGGUGACAUGGGAAAGACAUACAGAGAAGCCUACCAAUAGGAGAGUGAGAAUAGCUGAGUUUCCACCCAGCACUUCUGACUCUGAUCCUCGUAUAACCUUGGACAUGCAAGGAAUGUCACUGAAAGUUACAGAGUUCCGCAAAGAGGACUGUGGGAUCUAUACAGUGAGGGUUACCGAGAACAACGGAAAUCAGGUGUCUGCCAAACGAAUUGUCAGAGAAGCUGAGGUACCACCUCAAUUAUCCAUCUCAUUGCUCUGCGAUGUGUCCCGGGAGAGGGAGCAGUGGGACCGUCCAGCCUUCCAGUGGCUGGUGGACGGGGAGGUUGUGUCCAACAAGACCGCUAAUUUGUCGGCGGAUGGACAACAGCUAUUCCCAUCAGGGAUUCACGGGCGUAACUACACCUGUGUAGUGACUAGCAGCCAGGGGAGAAGCACAGCUACCUACAUUACAAGUGACUUGAUGUCGGGUGCCAAUUCCUUGUAUACGGGCUGGAUUGCGAAAAUAGUCUUCCUUCUACUUGGUCUUCUCAUCUCCCUUGUCUGAAACAGUAAAUGUUCCCAUGUUACUUUGCCUGAAGAACCUGGUUCUGAUACCUCCAACUCAAAACCAAAGAAUGCCAGAAACCUCAGUGUCACACAAUUUUAUGCUCAUAAUAUUUUUUUAUAUAAGUCAAUCCCUCUUGAGAAGCUACAUGUCUUGGUCCAGUCCCUUAACUUUGUUACAGGUCAGCAUUCCAGCCUGCAUUAGAUCUUCAACUCUUCAGAUGCAUAUAACUCCAAGCACUGGCCUCAAUAUUCAUCAUUUUCAAAUACCUGGUCCAAGAUCAGCAUCUGGUCUAGGGGACCUUGGAGGCCAGAAAGACUAAUCAUUAAAGGGAGUUUUCUGUGAAAGUACUCAUUUCAGUAUCCAUAUAAAAAAUACAACAUGACUAUUCGCAGAUAUAAUGAUAUAAAACCUUUGUUUUACAAAGUUUAUGAUAAAUUCUCUUUGUCUUGGACUUCAUAUACUGCUCAUGACAACACAGAAUGACAUUCAUUUUCUCUCACUCACUCACUAGGAGCUCUUCUCAGAAUCACUGGGCACAAAGCUGAGGGUACACCUGUCCAUUAUAGCGGAGCCACACACAAACACACUCACACUACAGGCAACUCAGCAUUGCCAGCUCACCUGAACUGCAUGAGUGGUGAGGAAACCAGAGCACCGGGAGCAGACAUGGGGAGAACAUGUACACUCCACACGACUGAGCUGGAUGAGAAUGUACAGCCAAACAGCUCACUGCAUCAUGAGUAAAUCAGCAAAGUUGCAAGCGGAGAAGACAACUUGACUGUUACAGGAUAUUUCUGCUCCACCAUCUGUGCUCAAGCCAAAGUCAUACUGUUAAACACAGCAACUAACAUUACACAGCUAAUCAAAGUUUAUUUUUGCAUCAGUUAAUAAUAUGACCAUAGUAGUAAAUUACUAGAUCUCUCUAGAUCAAUAUUGAGAAGUUGUCUGUUAGAUACUAAUCAGAGCGGUUGAUGUUAUAAAUGCUGUGUCCCUACAGCAGGACACUUUCUGUCACUAAUAUGGGUGAUGUUGCUGGCAAUAAGAAGUAUUACGUGGACGCUGGUCCAAAAACCCCGAUAAAAGUCAUUUUUGAAAACAUAUGAUUAUAUUUUUCAUUUUUAACAUUGUUGAAAGAAAUGGAUGUGAACUAUAAGUUAUAUACCUGCCAAAGACAAGGAAGUCAUUCAUCCUAGUUAGGUUUUUGCCUUAGUUUUUUUCAGAUGAGUAAAGGAAAAACAAAACUUCUGAAUUAAUUUAAAUGAAUUUAUCUCACCUAAUAUUGAUCAAGAAUCAAAACAUUAAUUCAGGCAAGAAGUUAAACCUAAUUAAACUUAAUGCAAAAAAAGGUAUUUCUAUGAGUGAUUGCUUUGCUAAUUUGGUAAAACCAGCCUGCUAAGAAUAUGCAGUUAGCAUCACUUUCAUAGCUGAUUCAUUAUUUACAUUUUAUGUUAGAGUCAUUAAUAUUAUUAAGGAAACCACAGUAAAUGAAAAAGGACCUGAGAAUACUGAUCUCCAUAGAGUACCUCGAAACUGCAAGUAAUCAUUUUGUAUUCUUAUGCAUUGCUUUGUUAUAUUCUGUGUAUAUGCUUACAGGAUUUUUAACUUUACUGUGAUAAUGAAAGUUACACAAAGCUGACCAUUAAGCUGUUUUUCCUUCAACAUUUUUCUCUGGCUUAAAGUCAAGAAAAAGAAAGUAAAUGGAAAACAACUAAACUGUGACUGUCACCAUAUAUUGUUGCAGUCAUUUCUGUCUAUAAAGAGAGAACCUUUCUUUCUAGAUAUUCUUCUGCAAAACAUACUGCAAACAUCCACACCAGAGAGCACAGAUCCCAUUCACAGUCGAUGUGGGACAGAGCCCCGUUCAGAAUUAGUUGGUGGAACAGAAGAUCAACUGAUGGACCAGUUGGUCCUGAAGGUCACGUGGAUGGAUAGGAUUCAUGCACAACCCUCAGCUGCUUAAACAGGACACAUAUGGAUGCAAAAACUCCUUUUCAUAGCUUUAACAGCAUGGGAAUAGUUGAGAAACAGGGAUAGAGUAGAAAUUAAGAUGAAAAAUAAUCCACACAUGAUCAAGUGAUUACCAGCUUCUUCAUGAAACAAAAUGUAUUUUAGAAUGGCCAAAAGUCAUCUCACUUUAUCCAUGGGGAACAAUUGCCUGACUUCGCUCAAUCAUAAGGCAUUAUAGUGUCAACAGUUUUGUGUCCAGACUUUUCCAGAAGCCAACAACAGGACAACCCUACUGGCUCGCCACUUUGUUAGGCAUCCAUCAGAAGGGAAUAAAAGCUUUGCUAGCUGAGAGAAAAAUGUAGUA